CCCGCCUCGAACAGUACACAAUAUCCAUAGCCAAUAUACACUUCCCGGACCCGCCAUAUUAGUUGUCUCCCUCUGCCUGCCGCCCAGGACAACCCGACAUACUCAACGUAAGCGUAAGUAAAGUUAGAGGGUAAUACCGUAAACAAAAUCUGCAGCCAAUAUACAUUACACCAACUGCCAUAACAUUCGACUAACUCAGCAUGAUG